AUACGGAGGGUGCGAGCGUUGUCCGGAAUUACUGGGCGUAAAGCGCACGUAGGCGGGUUUUUAAGUCGGCCGUGAAAGGCACUGGCUCAACCGGUGCAUGUCGGUCGAUACUGGAAGCCUUGAGUAUGGGAGAGGGCAGUGGAAUUCCUGGUGUAGGAGUGAAAUCCGUAGAUAUCAGGAGGAACACCGGUGGCGAAGGCGGCUGCCUGGACCGAUAUUGACGCUGAGACGCGAAAGCGUGGGUAGC
rnacentral:rRNA from 1 species